rnacentral:tRNA from 1 species
GCUCGUCUUCGACGAGGGACCGCUUCCCGAGGGCAUCGGCCUCGACCGCGAGGCCCUCGCGCGGGCCGGGUUCGAGGCCAAGCCGGGCC